rnacentral:rRNA from 1 species
CGGUCUGGGCUGCAUGACUACACAUGCAAGUCGAGCGGUAGAGCAGAAGCUUGCUUCUCUUGAGAGCGGCGGACGGGUGAGUGAUGCCUAUGAAUCUGCCUGGUCCUGGGGGAUGGCGUUCGGAAACGGACGCUAAUGCCGCAUACGUCCUACGGGAGAAAGCGAGGGACCUUCAGGCCUUGCCCUAUCACAUGAGCCUAAGUCGGAUUAGCAAGUUGGUGAGGUAAUGGCUCACCCACGCGACGAUCCCUAACUGGUCUGCUAGAUGGCAUGUAUGUACGUCGGCGACGUCAGUAAGUGAGACACAGUCCAGACUCCUUAUCGUGAGGGAGGAGAUGGGGAAUAUUGGACAAUGGGCGAAAGCCUGAUCCAGCCAUGCCCCGUGUGUGAAUAAGGUCUUAGGAUUGUAAAGCACUUUCACUUGGGAGGAAGGGGCUAUUGCCUAAUACGUGAUUGUUUUGACGUUACCGACACACACAGGCACCGGCUAACUCUCCUCCCAGCACCCGCGGUAAUACGGUGGGUGUUUGUUUUUAAUCUGAAUUACUGCAACGUAAACCUCGCGUAUGUGGUUAGCCCAGUCAUAUAUAUCAUCCCCGGGCUCCACCGUCGGAACUUCCACUCAAAACUGACUAAAUUGAGUUUGGUAGAGGGGGGGUAGAAUUCCCUGUGCAGCGGUGAAAUGCGUAGAUAUAUAAAGGAACACGAGUGGCGAAGGCGGAGCGCCUGGACUGAUACUGACACUGACGUGCGAAAGCGUGGGCGAGCAAACAAGAUUAGAUACCCUGGUAGUCCACGCCGUAAAUGAUGUCAACUAGCUGUUGGGAGCCUUGAGCUCUUCGCCCCCCCAGUUAACGCAUUAAGUUGACCGCCUGGGGAGUAGAGUGCCGCAAGGUUAAAACUCAAAUGAAUUGACGGGGGCCCGCACAAGCGGUGGAGCAUGUGGUUUUAAUUCUAUAUCAAUUCGAAGAACCUUACCUUCUCUUGACAUCCAAUGAACUUUCUAGAGAUAGAAAUGGGUGCCCGUCGUCGUACAGUGAGAACAAGAACAGCAGCAGCAUUCGUUGGCUCCUGUCGUGAAAUGUAGAGGUUAAGUCCCGUAACGAGCGCAACCCUUGUCCUUAGUCUACCAGCACGUAAUGGUGGGCACUCUAGAGGAGACUGACAGGUCACAACCCCAGCAGGUAAGAUGAGAGAUGACGUCAAGUCAUCAUGGCCCUUACGGCCUGGGCAGUACACACGUGCUACAAUGGUCGGUACAGAGGGUUGCCAAGCCGCGAGGUGGAGCUAAUCCCAGAAAACCGAUCGUAGUCCGGAUCGCAGUCUGCAACUCGACUGCGUGAAGUCGGAAUCGCUAGUAAUCGCGAAUCAGAAUGUCGCGGUAAUACGUUCCCGGGCCUUGUACACACCGCCCGUCACACCAUGGGAGUGGGUUGUACCAGAAGUAGUUAGUCUUAACCUUCGGGGGACUCUCGACAACCGUUGAUGCCGCAAUC